rnacentral:misc_RNA from 1 species
GAUGUGUUUACCGGCGACGCCGUUUUCCGGCGAAGUACCGCCGGCUGGACAGACAUCCGAGCUGGGGUUCGAAUUCAAUUUCUAAGUUCAUAAACUGGACCCGCCGUCUCAAAACGAGAGCUAAGGCUAUUUGCAGCAAGGGUAAUUGUUCCGGGUCGGGUCGGGGUUACAUACAUGUCGGGCAAGACCCGAUUAAAGAGGAAAGUGUGCCGAAAGGUCACUUGGCGGUUUAUGUGGGUCGGAAAGACGGUGAUUAUAAACGGGUUUUGGUACCG